AUGGCCUGGGUCCCUCUCCUCCUCGCGGUGCUCGCCCACACCUCAGGUUUGCUAGUCCAGACCUCAUCCAUAAGUCUGCCUUCCUCGGUGUCAUCCUACCCAGCAGAAACCGUCAAGAUCACCUGCUCUGGUAGUGGCAAUGGCUACUAUGGCUGGUACCAGCAGAAGGUCCCUGGCAGUGCCCCUGUCACUGUGAUCUGCAAAAAUGACCAGAGACCCUCAGGCAUCCCUUCGCGAUUCUCCGGAUCCGCAUCGGGCAACACGGGCACAUUAACCAUCACUGGGGUCCAAGCCGAGGACGAGGCUGUCUAUUUCUGUGGUGGUCAGGACAGCAGUUAUGCUGGUGUUGUGACACAGAGAGAUGUGGAAAUGAGGUUCCCUGGAGCAGCAUCAAUGAGUCAGCUGUCCUCCUUGUCAGCCAGUGUGUGAGAAACCAUCAAGAUGACCUGCCCUGGGGGUAGCAGUGCCUAUGGCUAAUUUCAGCAGAAGGUCCUGGCAAUGCCCCUGUCACUAAGAUCUGUGCUGGCACAAAGAGACCCUCAGCGGUACUGAGGAU